rnacentral:pre_miRNA from 1 species
AGGAGGAACAGCCCUAGUGGCGGGGCCAGCUCUGGAAACCUGGAUUCAGCUCCGGCAGGAACUCCGUCUGCAGGGCCUGGAGGCUCCGGGCGGGG